GGGCUCGUGGUGUAGCGGUUUAACAUGUCGCCCUGUCGAGGCGAAGAUCGCCGGUUCGAAUCCGGUCGAGCCCGCAA
rnacentral:tRNA from 4 species